rnacentral:siRNA from 1 species
UGAUGCAGCGCACUGAAAAUAU